rnacentral:rRNA from 1 species
UACGGAGGGUGCGAGCGUUAUCCGGAAUUACUGGGUUUAAAGGGUGCGUAGGCGGCCAUGUAAGUCAGGAGUGAAAGUUUGCGGCUCAACCGUAAAAUUGCUUUUGAUACUGCAUGGCUGGAAUCAGGAUGAGGUCAGCGGAAUGUGGCAUGUAGCGGUGAAAUGCAUAGAUAUGCCAUAGAACACCAAUUGCGAAGGCAGCUGGCUAGACCUGUAUUGACGCUGAGGCACGAAAGCGUGGGAGCGAACAGG